GGAGAGUACUGCAGGUAGAGCACUGAAUGAGCUAGGGGGCCACAAAGCUUACCGAACUCUAUCAAACUUCGAAUGGCAGAAACUUGCUCAACGGGAGUCAGACGGUGACAGAUAAGUGCCAUCGUCAAAAGGGAAACAGCCCAGACCAUCGGCUAAGGUCCCGAAAUUCAUGUUAAGUGGAAAAUGAUGUGCAAUUGCGCAGACAACCAGGAUGUUGGCUUAGAAGCAGCCAUACAUUCAAAGAGUGCGUAAUAGCUCACUGGUCGAGUGAUUGUGCGCAGAAAAUUUACCGGGGCUAAAACAUGAUACCGAAGCCAUGGCAAGCACUUAGGUGCUUGGGUAGGGGAGCAACGUGUGCGGGCGGAAGCUGAAUCGUAAGGUUCAGUGGACUGCACAGGAGAGAGAAUGCCGGCAUGAGUAGCGCGAGCUAAGUGAGAAUCUUAGCCGUCGAAAGCCUAAGGUUUCCUGAGGAAGGUUCGUCCACUCAGGGUUAGUCAGGGCCUAAGCCGAGGACAAAAGUCGUAGGCGAUGGACAACUGGUUGAUAUUCCAGUACCACCUGGGAGCGUUUGACGAAGCAGUGACACAGAAGGAUAGGCAGAGCGGGGUAAUGGUAAACUCCGUCCAAGCGGUGAGGCUGGUGCGUAGUGAAGCACGCGCACCGGAAGGCUGGGCCGUGAUGGGGACUGAAAAUAAGUAGGGAAGCUGUUGAAUUCACACUGGCGAGAAAAGCUGCUAAGGAGCAAACAGGUGCCUGUACCGCAAACCGACACAGGUAGGCGAGGAGAGAAUCCUAAGACGAGCGGGAGAACCCUUGUUAAGGAACUCGGCAAAAAGACCCCGUAACUUCGGGAGAAGGGGUGCCUCGAGAGAGGCCGCAGAGAAUAGGCUCAAGCGACUGUUUAGCAAAAACACAGGUCUGUGCGAACACGAGAGUGGACGUAUACGGGCUGACGCCUGCCCAGUGCUGGAAGGUUAAGGGGAAAUGUCAGGGCAACCGAAGCAUGGAACUUAAGCCCCAGUGAACGGCGGCCGUAACUAUAACGGUCCUAAGGUAGCGAAAUUCCUUGUCGGGUAAGUUCCGACCCGCACGAAUGGCGUAACGACUUGAGCACUGUCUCGACAGGGGACCCGGCGAAAUUGUAGUAUGUGUGAAGAUGCACAUUACCCGCGACUGGACGGAAAGACCCCGUAGAGCUUUACUGUAGCUUGGCAUUGAGUUUUGGUAACAAAUGUACAGGAUAGGUGGGAGGCUGAGAAAUAAGGACGCCAGUUCUUAUGGAGCCGCUGUUGGGAUACCACUCUUUUGUUACUGGAAUUCUAACGAGUCGCGCUGAACGCGGACUCAGACAGUGCCAGGUGGGCAGUUUGACUGGGGCGGUCGCCUCCCAAAGAGUA
rnacentral:rRNA from 1 species